AGAUUCUCCCGGACCCACGUGGAAGCGGCACUCAAGAUGGUAGGAGAAUGAGCUCCUGUUUCGGAGGUCCGGGGCGCGUGAAGUGCUGGGGAUGUGGCUCUGGGGACUUGGAGGCUCAGCGGCUCCGGGGCUCCGGGGUUCCGGGGCUCGGGAGCGAGUAGUGAGUGACUGGGCCUGCUGUUCCCACAGCUGCGCCGCGAGGCCCGCCUGCGCCGCGAGUACCUGUACCGCAAGGCCCGGGAGGAGGCGCAGCGCUCAGCCCAGGAGAGGAAGGAGCGGCUGCGGCGCGCGCUGGAAGAAAACCGCCUGAUUCCCACUGAGUUACGCCGAGAGGCUCUGGCCUUACAGGGGUCCCUGGAGUUUGAUGAUGCUGGAGGUGAAGGUAACUAUACAAGGUAGCCCUCCCCAACACUGAGCUGGCAGGUCUCCAGUCCUUCCUCAGACACACCGGGCACCAUCCCAUCAGAGGAAACUGCUCCUGGAACUGUCCCCCAUGCCCUUGUCACUGCACAGAUGGCAUUGCAGGGCUCUCCCUGAGUGUGCCCUGUCCCACUUACAUGGCACACAUGGGAGUGCCUCACUGACUCUGCACCUGGCUUGUUAAUUACCUCCCCCA
rnacentral:lncRNA from 1 species